GACGAACGCUGGCGGCGUGCUUAACACAUGCAAGUCGAACGGAAAGGCCCUGCUUUUGUGGGGUGCUCGAGUGGCGAACGGGUGAGUAACACGUGAGUAACCUGCCCUUGACUUUGGGAUAACUUCAGGAAACUGGGGCUAAUACCGGAUAGGAGCUCCUGCUGCAUGGUGGGGGUUGGAAAGUUUCGGCGGUUGGGGAUGGACUCGCGGCUUAUCAGCUUGUUGGUGGGGUAGUGGCUUACCAAGGCUUUGACGGGUAGCCGGCCUGAGGGGGUGACCGGCCACAUUGGGACUGAGAUACGGCCCAGACUCCUACGGGAGGCAGCAGUGGGGAAUAUUGCACAAUGGGCGGAAGCCUGAUGCAGCAACGCCGCGUGCGGGAUGACGGCCUUCGGGUGGUAAACCGCUUUCGCCUGUGACGAAGCGUGAGUGACGGUAAUGGGUAAAGAAGCACCGGCUAACUACGU
rnacentral:rRNA from 1 species